GCUGCCGCUCUCGACCUCGCUGCAACAAGCUGCAGUUGAGCCGUCUACGCAGGACCUGAGCUACGCGUCCCUACAGGCCUUUGCCCUCAUGUCCAGGGAAUUGGGGCGUGUUAUGUCCACCCUGGUCCAGACUCGCCGCCAGGUUUGGUUGGCUCAGUCGCCCCUGACGGAGGCGUGCAGGAAGGCCCUCAGAGCCGUGCCAGUGGUACCGGGGGAGCUGUUUGGGUCAGCUUCCCUGGAGACGCUGGAGCGAGCUGCCCAAGCUAGGCAAACCAACCUGCAGCUGUCGGGUCUUCACAGGAGUGUGUCCGCUCCUGGCAGGCCUAGAGCCCCCCCGGCUGCCCCCCGGGGCCGCUACCAGCCACCACGCUCUUACCCAGCGAGAGAUGAGGGCCUACGCAGGUCUCGGCGGCCCGCCCAGCAGCCCGCUGAUAGCUUUCGCGCCCCCGCCCGCCCAUCGCCUGGGCAGCCUCGGGCCGCGGAGCCUCACCGGUACCCCUCCAGAGCCGACAGAGGCCGGGGGGCCAGGCGCUAGGACCACGGGGCCGGUCGUCGGCUGUUUUUCCCAGCAGCAGAUCAGUUACUGGGCUGCCUGUACUAUAGACCCCUGGGUGGUUUCCACCUUAACCCGGGGGUACGAAUUACAGUUCCGACGCCGGCCCCAGGCCUUCGGCCGGGUCAGGAUGACAGUCGUCCGCGACCCGACGAAGGCCGCAGCUCUGGCCCAGGAGCUAUCCGCCCUCCUGGCCAAGGGUGCGAUCGAGCCAGUGGACCCUCAGUUACAACCCGGGGGGUUCUACUCUGCGUACUUUCUGGUAACCAAGAAAGACGGCGGAUUCAGGCCCAUUCUAGACCUAAGGGGCCUGAACACGUUUACCAUUCCACAUGCUCACCUCGGCGGACACCCUGAGGGUAGUUGCCAGGGGGGAGUGGUUCACGACCAUAGACCUGAAGGACGCCUAUUUUCAUGUGCCGGUUGCGGCACACCACAGGCGGUUCCUGAGGUUUGCCUAUCGGGGCAGGCAUUACCAGUUCAGGGUACUUCCCUUCGGGCUUUCCCUCUCCCCGAGGGUUUUCACCAGGGUUGUGGCGGCAGCCCUCGCACCCCUCCAGACGCAGGGCAUGAAGGUCCUGCCGUAUCUGGACGACUGGCUGGUCUGUGCGCCCUCCAGGUCCCAGGUGGCUCAGGACACGGCCCGCCUGCUGUCGCACGUCGCCCGGCUGGGCUUGAUGGUGAACCAAUCAAAGAGUUGCCUGGACCCUUCCCAACGGGUUACCUAUCUGGGGCUGCUUUUUAUUCAGUUUCUUCAGCUUCUGGGCAAGCUGUCAGCUGCUUCAGCUGUGGUGCCUCUGGGCUUACUGUCCCUGCGCCCACUCCAAAUGUGGCUGAACAGCCUGCACCUAGAUGCCAAGUGGCACAGGCAGAGGAGGGUCGAGGUGAUCCUGCAGUGUCUUGUCUCUCUGGCUCCAUGGAGAAAGAGAGCGUAUCUGGAGGCAGGCGUGCCCAUGGGCGCAAUCCCGGCACGCCGGGAGUUGGUGACAACCGACGCCUGCCUCUCGGGAUGGGGCGCAGUGUGGCAGGGCAGGACUGCGCAGGGACAGUGGUCUGGCCGGGACGUGGCACAACACAUCAAUUUGCUGGAACUCCGGGCUGUGCAGC
rnacentral:lncRNA from 1 species